GACCAUUUGGCCGAGUGGUUAUGGCGCCAGAUUCAAGCGAGUUAAAGCUUCUCAGUUCACUGAGUUUCCUGGUAACGAAAGUUGCGUGGGUUCGAGUCCCACAGUGGUCA
rnacentral:tRNA from 1 species